GUGGGGAAUAUUGGGCAAUGGGGGCAACCCUGACCCAGCAACGCCGCGUGAGUGAAGAAGGUUUUCGGAUCGUAAAGCUCUUUCGUUAGGGACGAACGUGCUCUUUGUGAAUAAUGAGGAGUAAUGACGGUACCUAAAUAAGAAGCCACGGCUAACUACGUGCCAGCAGCCGCGGUAAUACGUAGGUGGCAAGCGUUGUCCGGAAUUAUUGGGCGUAAAGCGCGCGCAGGCGGGAUAUCAAGUCUGUCUUAAAAGUGCGAGGCUCAACCUCGUGAGGGGACAGAAACUGGUAUUCUUGAGUGUCGGAGAGGAAAGUGGAAUUCCAAGUGUAGCGGUGAAAUGCGUAGAGAUUUGGAAGAACACCAGUGGCGAAGGCGACUUUCUGGACGAUGUCUGACGCUGAGGCGCGAAAGCUAGGGGAGCGAACGGGAUUAGAAACCCCGGUAGUCC
rnacentral:rRNA from 1 species